CGUUCGCCGCCCGGACCGGCCCCGCCGUCAGGGGCUGAGUGAGGCGCGGAGCGGCCGCGGAGGGGCGGCGGCUGCCAGCGCAGGGCGGUGUGCGAGCCGACGGGUCCCUGGCCCUGCUGGCCCUUAGCCCCCGGCCGCAGGAACCGAGGGGCUCCCGGCGCCGAGAGCCUCCGCCGCUUUCUGCAACCACGCCGAGCUCGUGUAGAACACUCGCGAGUGUCUGAGCGGUGCCCAGACCCUGGAAAGCCCGUGGCGAUGGGCUUUUAGUUUUGCACAGCCCGGUGUGGGAGCGUACUCGUAGGAGUUAGGAAGAAAUUCUUUACUGCGAGGGUGGUGAGGCACCGGGACAGGGAAUUGUGGAUGCCCCAUCCCUGGAAGUGUUCCAGGCCAGGUUGGGGUGGUUGGCACGUUCUGGGACGUGUUCCUGGCCUAAGCAACUGCCCUGCCCAAGCUGAGGCUGCAAUCAACCAACACCCAUACCUGGAAAAUGGGGACGUGUUAAUAACCGGCACAAAACCUGCUCUAACACUGCCACGCCUGACAUCCUGAAUAACACACUCGAGUCCUGUGUAUCGGUGUCACCUGAGCGCCAUGAACCCAAACUGAGGAGUCGUCUAUCACCAGCUCUCCAGCCUCCAACUCUCCACCAGAAGAAGAACCAGAUUCUGGCGGUGCCUCCAUACCUGAAACUUCGUACUCACUUCCAUGGCCCUCUGAAUGAAGGGAGGUGUCAGCACCGAAACUCUCAGAAGGUGGAUGUGAGUCCGGAGGAGCUGCUGGUGCUGAAGAGUAGGAUAAAGAAUCAUCAUCUGCUGCGCUACUUUUCUCUUUUGGUGAAAGGAUGAGCUUCAUCUUCAAGCCAUCAGGUUCACGAAGAGUAAGUGUCUCCGUGUUCACAUAAAGAGGUUUCAUCUUUUUAGAUUUGUGGGAGCUGCCAUCAUCCACUGAGUGCUCCCCACUGCUCCCACUCAGCUUCUUCUUGGGAUGCUCCUUUCUGCUUUCAGAAUGGCCAGAGGAAGAAUGAGAUGAUUUUUCAGAGGUCCUCUUUGAAGACUUUGAGCUUGUGGCCAAAGGUGAGUUGAUAGCCUUGAGUAAAUCCAUGUUUGUAUCAGCUGAGGAUGGGCUAGAAGCUGCUUUUUUCUUCUUCUUUGAUGGUAGAUCCAAAGGCGAGACACCUGAAAAAGAUCAAGAGAAAUGUACACUGAGAUGAUUCCCUUAAAGACAGCGAAGGAGGUGAGAAUCCUGAGCUUUACAAUUACAGGUGACAGAUUUAUAUCCUGGCUGAAACAGAACCACAUCAGCACAGCCUUACUGAUACAAUUCAGAGGAUGUGACACCUGAGCUGGUCAAAUCAUUUAAGGAAGGGAGAGACAGGAGGAAAAUUCUUGAAGUUUUGUGAGACUCCAUUUCUGAGUUCUGAAAUAAAAUGUUUUGAUGAAAAUACAUCUAUCUGAAAUUGCAUCUCAAGUGCAAGGUUUUCAUGAUGUUUUUAGACAAGGUGAGAUCAAUGACUCAAAAAUGUGAGCUUUUCCAUUCCGUAGACAGAUUUUGAUGGAAGAUGAAAUUUCAGCUUGGCUUUCUCCUUCUAUUGGGCCAAUAAUAAAUCCUAAAUGUGUUAAGCUUC